UACGUAGGGGGCAAGCGUUGUCCGGAAUCAUUGGGCGUAAAGCGCGUGUAGGCGGCUUGGUAAGUCUGCUCUGAAAGCCCGGGGCUCAACCCCGGGAGGCGGGUGGAUACUGUCCAAGCUCGAGUCCGGAAGAGGAGUGUGGAAUUCCUGGUGUAGCGGUGAAAUGCGCAGAUAUCAGGAGGAACACCAAUGGCGAAGGCAGCACUCUGGGGACGUGACUGACGCUGAGACGCG
rnacentral:rRNA from 1 species